UGGUCAACUCUUUGGACACUCGUAAACAGGUGGUGCAUGGUUGUCGUCAGCUCGUGUCGUGAGAUGUUGGGUUAAGUCCCGCAACGAGCGCAACCCUCGUUCUAUGUUGCCAGCGCGUAAUGGCGGGAACUCAUAGGAGACUGCCGGGGUCAACUCGGAGGAAGGUGGGGAUGACGUCAAAUCAUCAUGCCCCUUAUGUCUUGGGCUUCACGCAUGCUACAAUGGCCGGUACAAAGGGCUGCAAUAC
rnacentral:rRNA from 1 species